AGAAUUUUCAGCAUUAGCCAUCUCUUUGGCCGCCAGCUUAAUAAAGGACUCUUAAUUCGUCUCAAAGUGUGGCAUAUUUUUUAACUCGCUUGGAUACAACAUAAUGGAGGUCCCAGUGAGAAAUUAACUCCACUGGGUGAGAGCCGGUCUCACUCUGGGCUCCCCCGGAAGGACGGCUGGCUUGGAUGGGGGGCGCCACCUGAGGAAAUAAUUUUUAAGGUCCCAGAAGAGUAACUGCCUUCCGGAGGAGAGCGGAUCGACCACCGUGUCAUUGCCCUAAAAUUCAACAUCUGAGUCCUCAGCUUCUGACCCCGGGGUCAGGAUUCCUCACACAGGACACCACCUGCUGCGUCUGUCUCAUGGACUCUGGCUGAGCAAUGGAUGAAAGAAGUUUGCUGACACAGGUAUUUUGCCUGAGAGCUCCACAAAAGGACUGCAUGCUCAGCAUCACUGGCAAGCAUGCAGCAGCAGCAGCAGCAACAACAACAACAACGACUGCAGCAGCAGCAGGAGCCAAGAGUGCAGCCACCACAAAGAGAAUGCAGUAGCCACUGAUACAGUGUAGCAGCUGCCAAGAGUGCAUCAUAACAACAGCAAGAGUGCAGCCCCCAGAAGCCAGUGACACUUGCAUUUAGGAGUCAAGUUCUACUUGCAGAGCCAAUGAAAGUCCCUUGGAAGAACUGGGCUUAUACCUUGUCUUCACAGUCCUUGCACAGGGUUCCUGAUCUGUGGGUAUCCCUGAGCCUCAUCUUCCACAGUCAUGUGAGAAGAACCCAAUUUUGCUGAAGUGAGGAGAAAGUUCUGCAAAAUGAGGAUUGUGAAUCCUCAUUUAUGGUUCAGCACUUCUGAAGCUGUGGUGGGAGAAUCAAUUGAGCUUUAGACUUCAAGGAUACAGUGAGCAAUGAUUAUGACACUACAGCCUGAGUGACACAGGGGCCUGGAUGAAAGUAGUAAAAAGAACAACUGCAUCCUUCUAUAGCUGAUACCUUGUUGAGCUGUGAAGCACAUUGAGCAGAGUCUGAAAUCCUUCCUCACUAUGGGGUUGCUGAGGUGACCUUCUCCAGAUUUUCAUUAGACCGUGACAUUCUGGAGCCCCAGUUCCACUAUUUUCCAAGGUGGGACAUGCUGAACCAGACCCUGAAAUUGUGGUUCAGUGUGACCAGGCUGAGACUGACCUUUAAAAGAAAGAACUGCAAAGUUGGUGUCUUAUUUUCCUUGUCAUUCCAGUGUAUCUUUUGGUAAAGAGACCAGAAAAGACUACUUUGGUAUGGAGACCAGAAAAGAGAGAGUAUGUGACAGCCCUCCUCAUAGAGUGGUACUAUUUAUUCAUGACUCCAAAGCGUCAAGAAAAGUUGAGAGAACUGUCUUCCUGGCACAGCCUGAGUAGGCUAGAGCACUGUGACCCUUAAUACUUAGUUCAUGUAUUCUUCACAGAAAUUAAAAAAAAUAGUAUAUGGGGGUAGAGAAAUGGUUGGUACAAAUAACAAGUUGCAGGUGAAAUAAUUGGAGACAGGAAGAGAAUGGAAUCUGCUUACACCAGUACACAUACUGCCUAGGUGCUGCUGAACAGUCAAGUCAGUUCUCUGAUUUGAGCCUUGUGUCUUGGAAUUAACAGGCCCACUUCUGCUCUGGCCUGAGUGCUAAACUUUUUUGUUCUAGAAUCAAAUGUGAAUUCUGGACUCUGGAAUUCCAGUUGCGUUUCACAGGCCAGUGGAUUAAGGAGGCCCAAAUCAGCCCACAAAAGGGGUUGUGGAUGGCUCUACCACAAAUGACUGGUUGCUUUUGUGCCUACACUCAUGAAGAAGAGGCAUCAUCUUCCUCAAGGCAAGCCCAGAGAGAUCUGAAGCGUACAGGUGCCAGUGAAGGAAAAAGGUAAUGCCUCAGGCCAUUGCUUUUGCCCCUCCUGUGUUGUGUCUUUGGAGGCUCUAUUUGCUCAUCCAAAAAUGGGCAAUGAAAGCCCCUCGGUGACUGGCUGCUCACCCCACAUUUACCAGGCCACUGCAGAGUGCCCACCCUGCAGCUCUAGGUACAUCCUCUGCUUCAAAAAGCUGGGGAAACUCUGGGCUGAGUUAAUAGCCCUGAGAGGGUUCUCCCACUCUGGGAGCACUCCUGCCCGCCCCUUUAUAUCCACGUGACAGCUGAGCAUGUCUGCUAUAUGCCAACCUUAUUGUCUGCUUUUGCCAAGCCCAGGGCUUCACUGAUUGGCUAGGGGAACGUGCUCACAGAAGCCCAGGUGAACUAUCUAUACUUUCUCCAAUGCACAACCUCAUGCAGGUGCCACCCAGGUUUUCUUUUAAAUUGUAAUCUUAGGGGGUUAGAAGGCACUAAAUUAUUCACUAAUAAGUCUUCUCUAACUUCUUGACUAAUAAAUCAAUAAGUCAAUGGGAAAAGAUGGGUGUGGGCCUUGAUAUUCUUAAUCUCCUUCCUCUAGUGGGACUGAAUUGGGGUUGUCAUCCUGAUUUCUUUUUCAAAAAAGCUAGCAAGUGAGGCGGGACUCAAGGUCCAGGAACAGUACCAAACUCCUAGGCUGGAGUCGCGCAGGGCCUUCUGAGGUCCCUGCAGAUAGGAGGCCUUAGUGGAGGUCCAGCUCCCUUUUCUAGGAUGAUAACUAUGGACCCUUCCUGAAACACCAAGGAGGGCCUACUCUUUCUGCAAAUUGCAAUCUCUGGUUUCUGAGGGGUGAGACUGUGUGUAUGUGUGUAUGUGUGUGUAUGUGUGUGUAUGUGUGUGUGUGAGUGUGUGUGGACAUGGCCUUCUGCUUCAUUUCCAGGGGUUGUUUCCCUAGAAGAAAUUCCUAGGGAAUCUUGAGACUGUGCUGGAGG
rnacentral:lncRNA from 10 species